UGGGGACCACAGAAAGGGUCAAGAUGCUCAUUUUCCCUCUGACUCUGGCUCCUACAUAACUUAGCUUCUCUGAGACAUCCACCGUGCUGUUGUCAUGAGGUUUUGACCCAGGAACUUUGACUCCCUUGAGCUUUAUCCUCCCAACUUCCUGUUGCUUUGAUGAGGAAAUUUCCUCAGAGUCUCCUGUUACACUUCACGAGGGAAGACCACGGCUGGGCCCCGCUUUCUCUUUUGAGCAUCCGAAGUGUCCCUUCCAUCCUCUUCCUCGGGUCAAGUCCUCUGCUCGACUCCCAGCUCCUGGAGAGCAGGGCCAAGUCUGACUCAGCCCCAUGUCCUCUGGCCUGGACCAGGCAGGUGUCCGGUCUUGAGCUGUUCCUGCGUUUCUCCAAGGCACCCACUCCUUGGGAUUCCGUUUUGAAAGAAAGGUAUCAGCCAUCAGCGGAAAUCUGUGUCCCUUACAGCUCGGGUCAUGAUCUCAGGAUCUUGAGAUGGAGCCCUGCAUCAGGCUCCACACUCAAUGUGGACUUGGCUUGGGAUUCUCUCUCUCCCUUUCCCUCUGCUCCUCUUUCCAGUGCACUCUCUUUAAAACAAACAAACAAAUAAUAAAAUCUUAAAGAUUUUUCACAUGGUCUCAAACUCUACAAGAAAUUAUAAGAUGAC
rnacentral:lncRNA from 1 species